UACGGGGGGAGCAAGCGUUGUUCGGAUUUACUGGGCGUAAAGCGCGCGUAGGCGGCUUUGUAAGUUAGAGGUGAAAGCCCGGAGCUCAACUCCGGAACUGCCUUUAAGACUGCAUCGCUAGAAUUGUGGAGAGGUGAGUGGAAUUCCGAGUGUAGAGGUGAAAUUCGUAGAUAUUCGGAAGAACACCAGUGGCGAAGGCGGCUCACUGGCCCGUUACCGACGCUCAGGCGCGACAGCGUGGGGAGCAAACGGG
rnacentral:rRNA from 1 species